rnacentral:rRNA from 1 species
UACGAAGGGGGCUAGCGUUGUUCGGAAUCACUGGGCGUAAAGCGCACGUAGGCGGAUUGUUAAGUCGGGGGUGAAAUCCUGAGGCUCAACCUCAGAACUGCCUCCGAUACUGGCAAUCUCGAGUUCGGAAGAGGUUGGUGGGACAGCUAGUGUAGAGGUGAAAUUCGUAGAUAUUAGCUAGAACACCAGUGGCGAAGGCGGCCAACUGGUCCGACACUGACGCUGAGGUGCGAAAGCGUGGGGAGCAAACAGG